rnacentral:misc_RNA from 1 species
UCUAUUUUCUGCUCCCAGUACAUUUCCAGCAUUCAGAGGAACCACUUCUUGGAAUCCAAGAAUAUAGAUAUCUGCUGGUUCUUGCAUACAAAGCCACUCAUCAAUAUCUAGAUCUUCAUCUGGAAGUCUUCCUGCUACAUUCCAAGUACCAACUGUAACUCUCACUUCUUUCGUGUUAAUAUACUGAGCUCUCAAAGUUUCUGAUUUCCCUCUCCUGUG